UGGGGAAUAUUGGACAAUGGGCGGAAGCCUGAUCCAGCAACGCCGCGUGAGGGAUGACGGCCUUCGGGUUGUAAACCUCUUUCAGUGCAGACGAAGCGAAAGUGACGGUAUGCACAGAAGAAGGACCGGCCAACUACGUGCCAGCAGCCGCGGUAAUACGUAGGGUCCGAGCGUUGUCCGGAAUUAUUGGGCGUAAAGGGCUCGUAGGCGGUCUGUUGCGUCGGGAGUGAAAACCCAGGGCUUAACCCUGGGCCUGCUUUCGAUACGGGCAGACUAGAGGCAUUCAGGGGAGAACGGAAUUCCUGGUGUAGCGGUGAAAUGCGCAGAUAUCAGGAGGAACACCGGUGGCGAAGGCGGUUCUCUGGGAAUGUUCUGACGCUGAGGAGCGAAAGUGUGGGGAGCGAACA
rnacentral:rRNA from 1 species